rnacentral:rRNA from 1 species
UGGGGAAUAUUGCACAAUGGGCGGAAGCCUGAUGCAGCGACGCCGCGUGGGGGAUGAAGGCCUUCGGGUUGUAAACUCCUUUCGACAGGGACGAAGCUUUUGUGACGGUACCUGUAUAAGAAGCACCGGCUAACUACGUGCCAGCAGCCGCGGUAAUACGUAGGGUGCGAGCGUUGUCCGGAAUUACUGGGCGUAAAGAGCUCGUAGGUGGUUUGUCGCGUCGUCUGUGAAAUUCCGGGGCUUAACUCCGGGCGUGCAGGCGAUACGGGCUGACUUGAGUUCUGUAGGGGAGACUGGAAUUCCUGGUGUAGCGGUGAAAUGCGCAGAUAUCAGGAGGAACACCGAUGGCGAAGGCAGGUCUCUGGGCAGUAACUGACGCUGAGGAGCGAAAGCAUGGGUAGCGAACAGG